AAAUUGAAGAGUUUGAUCAUGGCUCAGAUUGAACGCUGGCGGCAGGCCUAACACAUGCAAGUCGAACGGUAACAGGAAGAAGCUUGCUUCUUUGCUGACGAGUGGCGGACGGGUGAGUAAUGUCUGGGAAACUGCCUGAUGGAGGGGGAUAACUACUGGAAACGGUAGCUAAUACCGCAUAACGUCGCAAGACCAAAGAGGGGGACCUUCGGGCCUCUUGCCAUCGGAUGUGCCCAGAUGGGAUUAGCUAGUAGGUGGGGUAACGGCUCACCUAGGCGACGAUCCCUAGCUGGUCUGAGAGGAUGACCAGCCACACUGGAACUGAGACACGGUCCAGACUCCUACGGGAGGCAGCAGUGGGGAAUAUUGCACAAUGGGCGCAAGCCUGAUGCAGCCAUGCCGCGUGUAUGAAGAAGGCCUUCGGGUUGUAAAGUACUUUCAGCGGGGAGGAAGGGAGUAAAGUUAAUACCUUUG
rnacentral:rRNA from 1 species